UACGUAGGGUGCGAGCGUUGUCCGGAAUUACUGGGCGUAAAGAGUUCGUAGGCGGUUUGUCGCGUCGUUCGUGAAAACUUGGGGCUUAACUCCAAGCGUGCGGGCGAUACGGGCAGACUUGAGUACUACAGGGGAGACUGGAAUUCCUGGUGUAGCGGUGGAAUGCGCAGAUAUCAGGAGGAACACCGGUGGCGAAGGCGGGUCUCUGGGCCGUUACUGACGCUGAGGAGCGAAAGCGUGGGGAGCGAACAGG
rnacentral:rRNA from 1 species